UACAGAGGGGGCAAGCGUUAUUCGGAAUUAUUGGGCGUAAAGGGCGCGUAGGCGGCUUGGCAAGUGGAUGGUGAAAUCCCUCGGCUUAACCGAGGAACUGCCGUCCAAACUGCUUCGCUUGAGACCGGGAGGGGUGAGUGGAAUUCCCAGUGUAGCGGUGAAAUGCGUAGAUAUUGGGAGGAACACCAGUGGCGAAGGCGGCUCACUGGACCGGUACUGACGCUGAGGAGCGAAAGCGUGGGGAGCGAACAGG
rnacentral:rRNA from 1 species